rnacentral:lncRNA from 1 species
CUGCAGCUCUUUCUGCACAUGAGCUCAUUGAGGUUUUUGCCUUUAGAAACUGGCCCUCGGAACUUUUGGGGUUUCAGUCUUAGCUUCUGAAUCUAUGGUGCGGCCUGAUCGAUCAAUCGAUCAAUCGGUCCUGGGGUGUGUGUUUGAUAUGAAACUAGUCCGUCUUAACUGAGACCAGAGUUAGAGUGGUUAGUGUGGCAAUUCCUUGACCAUAUAGAUUUCCCCGUACCCUUGGCCACCCCUCAGAUAUUGAGAGUGAACACUACCAAGACGGCCGGACCCUCUGUGAGGAGUGUUUCCCAUGGAGCCUAGAAACUUACUCAUGGACCAGGCAACGAGGCUGGCUGCUCAGGAGGACCCUGGGAUCCUCUGGCUUGUGCCUCUCCUCCACAAGAUGAAAACGUGUACUUCCCGCAGUGAGAAAUCACCCCACCCACUCAGGAAAGCAAGGAGUCCAUUCUUUCAGCUCUUUACUGAGGCUCUCACAACUGCCUGUGCCUGCUACUCAAAGGGUCUCUCGAUGUAGUCCUGGCUGUUCUGGAAUUCACUAUGUAGACCAAGCUGAACUUCAACUCAUAGAAAUCCACCUGCCUCCACCCCAAGAGUGCUGGGGCUAAAGGAACGCACUUCACUCUGAACAAUUUAAACAGAGAAGGAGACUAUAAAUCUGGCCACUUAGGCAGAUGGGAGGUUUACACAGCAAAGACACUGCAUACUGCAUACAACUGAGCAGUUGUUACCAGGACCGUCUUGCCUACCUGGCAGAAUCAUGCUCUUCCUGACAAGCCCACAGAAGACUUAAUGGUGGACCAGAACUUCAGGACAGUGUGCGCCCAGACUGCCAUUUGAGCUGCCUGUUAGAAGUCUGUCUUUGUGUGGGAAUGGGGCUAGGUGUAAGUCCAUGCUGUCCCAUUUGUCAGUCCUGGAGAGCAAACAUUAACUGGCCUGGUGGCAGACUGCUUAUCUUCUAGGUACUUUGGAGGUGGCAUCCCUUUAGCUAUUAUAUAUAUAAAAUCUCCCUUGUGUGGUUUGGUGUCUCCUAAGCUAACCUAUUAGUAAGUCCUUUAUAACAUCAACACUAUCACCUUGAGUUUCUUUUGUAUCAGGCACUGGGAUUAUAGGCACACAUGCUGCUAAGCUUGGCUUUUUAUAUGUGUGCUGGGGCUUCGAACUCAGAUCCUCUCGCUUGCACAGCUAGCACGUUACCUACAAUCAUCUCCCCAACCCCAUUCUGUCCAUUAAAAAAAAAAACCCUA